rnacentral:rRNA from 1 species
CGGAGGGUGCAAGCGUUAAUCGGAAUAACUGGGCGUAAAAGCGCACGCAGGCGGUUGGACAAGUCAGAUGUGAAAUCCCCGGGCUCAACCUGGGAACUGCAUUUGAAACUGUCCGACUAGAGUCUUGUAGAGGGGGGUAGAAUUCCAGGUGUAGCGGUGAAAUGCGUAGAGAUCUGGAGGAAUACCGGUGGCGAAGGCGGCCCCCUGGACAAGACUGACGCUCAGGUGCGAAAGCGUGGGGAGCAAACAGGAUU